rnacentral:rRNA from 1 species
GACGAACGCUGGCGGCGUGCUUAACACAUGCAAGUCGAACGGAAAGGCCCUGCUUUUGUUGGGUGCUCGAGUGGCGAACGGGUGUGUAACACGUGAGUAACCUGCCCUUGACUUUGGGAUAACUUCAGGCAACUGGGGCUCAUACCGGAUAGGAGCUCCUGCUGCAUGGUGGGGGUUGGACAGUUUCGGCGGUUGGGGAUGGACUCGCGGCUUAUCAGCUUGUUGGUGGGGUAGUGGCUUACCAAGGCUUUGACGGGUAGCCGGCCUGAGAGGUGGACCGGCCACAUUGGGACUGAGAUACGGCCCAGACGCCUACGGGAGGCAGCAGGGGGGAAUAUGGCACAAUGGGCGGGAGCCUGAGGCAGCAACGCCCCGUGCGGGAGGACGGCCUUCGGGUUGUAAACAGCUUUCGCCUGUGACGAAGCGUGAGUGACGGUAAUGGGUAAAGAAGCACCGGCUAACUACGUG